ensembl:lncRNA
CGAGGAUCCCAAGAGUUGCAUUUCCAGCUCCGAGGGGCGAAGAGCUGCCGCCGCCGUGCAGCUCAUUUUAUAGUGCUGCGGAAAGGAAGUGGCGUACCUGGAGCGUGAGGGAGGACGCCAGCCAAUCCGGAGAUCGCACCAUUGUGACGCAGGCAGAUUCGGAGCCGGAGGGGGCGGGAGAAGGGCCGCCAGGGGGCGUGCCCAGAGGCCGGGAAGAGAGGGAGGAGCUGACGUAAUCUGCUUGUAAACAAAUAAACCCCGAGUGGCAGCCUGAGACGCAGGAGCGGUGGAGGGUGGAGAGAGAGGCCGAGGAGGCGCGUGUGAAAGCUCCGCCCCCAAGAUAACUCCGCCUCCGACCCUGGCCAGUGGGGACCCGGCAGUCCGGGUCCCCGCUUCUGGUCUGGGAUUCUAGACUCAAUUAUGGUGGUGUGUCCGGAUCGGCAGGACCGGGGUUCGGUCUCCGCAGCCCCUGCCCCGUGCGUACCCCAUUUUACAUCUGAUUCCAGCUCCAGACGGCUUGGCUGGCAGCUCUGGAAGGAGGAGCGUGCGGCGGCAGAGUCUGGGGCUCCGGUGAAUGCGGGGAAUGGAAGGACCGGCUCCCAGGAGCUAUCCUGCUGCUUAAUCCGAGCCAUUACCCUAAGGGGCUGCAGACACCCGGGAACCCACUGCUCCGGGAAAGGUGGAAAUGUGUCUGUAAAAGUUUAAUUGGCAAACAGGUAGUAAGUAAGGCCGGUGUGGCUGUUAUUUCAGAAGAAAAUAUAACAGAAUCUGUUCAAAACAAAACAAGGAAGGUGGUUUUUGAAAAUAAUAUGUAUUUUAUGCAUAUGUACUAUACACACAACCAAAUUUGUUUUUUAUUAAAUUUUUGUAGUUCAAGUAAUGUCAGAACUUUAAAGUUGUGCUGCUAUUAAGACAGACGAAAAAUAAAACUUGAACCUUGUUCAGAAUGUUAAACCUAGACACCCUCAUUCACUGGCAAAGUUGCUUGAAAACAGCCUGGAAAGAAGGAAGGCAUGAGCCUGCUAAAACUAUUAGGCCCAAAAUAGGGUUAACCCAACUCUAUUAAAGUAGGAGAGGGGAGAGGGAGGAAAAAACUGAAGUCCAGGCAGGAAGAAAAAAGCAAACAAGAGUCAGAAGUUGAACUCUACCAGAUGGAAAUAGAUAUUUUAGAGUUUAGUUGGUCAACAGUUGCCAUACCACUUAAAGAUAUAUGGAGCUAGCCAGAGAGGAUAAGCAAGAGGAUUGGUUACUGAGCUUGAUUUGAAAAGGACUUCCUGAAAAUCAAAUGGAAUAGCAAAGUUUUGACUGGAGGCUUGUCUCACCAUUCCGGAAGAUAAAGAACCAAAAGUCUGUCCUUGUACUCAUGCUGUAGAGAAGUCUGCAUCUCUCUUUACCACCCGUCUCCCCACCUGUUCUGUCCUUUUCCCCUCUCAGUAACAGUCCCUUCAGUCUGGAUUAGGAAGAGAGUAGAAUUGUCUGCUUCCCCUGUGACUGGGAAUCCCAUCCCAGUGACUCAGAGUAUAAACAGACUCCUUUACAAAACAAAAAUAACAAAGCUAGCAAAAUAUUAAAGUUUGAACUCGGACAUCUCCCAAUCUCUGAUUCUCUUCACAGGCUUUACCGCCUCUCCAAACAUCAUCAGGACCUCCCUCAACCGAAAACGUUAAAAUCAGUUCAAGGACCGGGCAUGUUAAUACACACUCCCAGCACUCCAGAGCAGAUGUGGGCAGAUCUCUAUGAGUUCAAUGCCAGCUAAAGCUUCAUAGUUGAAUCCUUGUCUCAAAACAAAGCAGUCCAAGAAGCUAAGUGAAGUCUGCCUGUAAUUCCAUCCCAAGGCAGGAGACCUUGGGAUAGGCCUCAGUUGGUAGAGUGUUUACCUAGAGUACAGAAAACCUGGGUCAGAUCCCCAGCAGACACAUGCCUGUAAUUCCUGUCUCUGAGCUAGUAAAGGCAGCAAGACCAGGAAUCCAAGGCCAUCCUCAACUAAAUAGCUUUGGCAAGUCUGAGUAUGUGUAAGACCCUGAAAACAGUUGUGGCAUUAAAAUCAUAGGAUCUCUGUCAAAACAAGCUCAGGAAACAGACGUGUUUUGUUGUUGUUUGUUUGUUUGUUUUGUUUUGUUAAUUGGCAAAGAGCACAGACAUCAUGUUAGCAGUGGGGCUUUGAAGCUCGGGAAACACGUUCUAUAGGGAUAAUUAUCAGAUAACCAGAAUCCAAAGGGCUGUUCCUUUGUUAAAUGCUUUUAACCACAAAGAAA